AGCAGCAUAAGAAAGAAGUGUUGAGAGCUGCUCUUAACCCUUUUGGAGUCCGAAGUCAAAAGGGGACUAGAGGGCUUGGCGCAUCCUUUACAUCCUGCAUUUACUCUGACCACAGUCCCUCCCUGUUCUCACAAGCGAAGCUCAGCCCUGCUUCCCUUCCUGUUGAAUCCCGGUCAGCUACAUGACUGCCUGAAGUUACAUUGUAGAUGCUGAAAUCACUGCACCUUAAAAACAAAAAGAUUAAGCCGCGCUGCAUUCCUAAUGUUGGCAUUUUUGGACUGUGCAUCUGUUUAGGCACGUGGAGAAAGACAAGACUGAGAUCAUGUAAGUCAUGAAACUGAGGGUGAAU